rnacentral:misc_RNA from 1 species
GGUGUGGUGGCGACGGCAGGGCAGGAGAUGCUGAAGGAGAUGGGGUUUGCCCCGCAGAAUCCUGCUCCGGUUUCGGCAGCAGUGGUGAAUCCGAUUGUUUCGCCCACUGGCAGGGAGUUCUUGUCCGAUGAUGAUAAAUCUGAUCAGGGCGGAGUGAAGAAGAUGCUACCGGUGCCUGUUUCAUCACAGCAGCAGCAGAAGGUCACUCCGGUGGAUUCUCCGAUCGGCGAUCCGGUCACAAGGCCCAUAUAUUAUCAGGAUAAGCCGGCUGCAAUUGCUGCAGCCGCAGCCGUUGUUG